CCUACGGGAGGCAGCAGUGAGGAAUAUUGGUCAAUGGGCGCGAGCCUGAACCAGCCAAGUCGCGUGAAGGAUGACUGCUCUCUGGUUUGUCAACUUCUUUUAUCAGGGAAUAAAGUCGGGAACGUGUUCCUUUUCGUAUGUACCUUAUUAAUAAGGAUCGGCUAAAGUCGUUCCAGCAGCCGAGGUAAUUCGGGGGAUGCGAGGGUUUACCGGGUUUAUUGGGUUUAAAGGGUGCGUAGGGGGGUAAUUAAGUUAGUUGGGAAAGUUUGGGGCUCAACCUUAAAAUUGCCGUUGAAACUGGCAGACGUGAGUAUAGUAGAGGUAGGCGGAAUGCGUGGUGUAGCGGUGAAAUGCAUAGAUAUCACGCAGAACUCCGAUUGCGAAGGCAGCUUACUAAACUGCAACUGACACUGAAGCACGAAAGCGUGGGUAUCAAACAGGAUUAGAUACCCGAGUAGUC
rnacentral:rRNA from 1 species